GAAUGGCCUCAGGCCCAGAGUCAGCCCAAUCAUGGGUCCAAAUACAAAGACGAUGCAAGUGAUUGUUUUGCUAAGGCGUCAGCCUCAACAUUCGAAGAACGAUAAAAGUGAGAGAAGGAGAUUGCGACGAAAGCAGAGGAGAGUUGCUUGAUAUCUCUGAUGAUACCGAAGAUUUCCUUAACCUGCAUGUCGCAAGUGAUAGCUCGAAUGAGCGUUUCAUUGUCAGAGAAGCAUCGGAGCUUUGGAAGCCCUAAUUUCUCUGCAGAGGUGAGAGCUGAUCGGAGAGCAAUAGCUUCCGCAAUCAGAGGCGAGUUGAUCAUAUCCUGAGUAGCGUUGCCUCGUUCGAUGGAGUUUCCUGUCGAGUCGGUUAGAAUCCACGCAAAGCCGGCUCUUUUCGAUCUAAUAUCCCAUGCCGCGUCCGAUCUACAAGUCACCACCAGGGGAUCGUCUGUUGGUAGCUGCAUCUGUCUCCGAGAUUGAGGUGACAAAGAUUUGUUCUCGAAGACAAGUCUAUUCCUUGCAUUCCAAAUUGUCCAGCAGAUCCAAGGUAGUAUGGCUCCCGUCGCUCCUGUUGGUGGUAGACAUACCGUUCCUUUAAAAACCACCAUUGCAUCUGAGAAACUCUCAAUAGUAGCUAGGUGAACUACAUUAGCCAGUGGGAUCCUCCUCCACACCUCUUGGGCGAAUGGGCAAUGAAAGAAGGUUCUCUCCUAAAGGCAGAGCUCGUUGUAUGGUAGACCAUAGAAAGAGCUUCAUUUUUGGUGAACAAGCUGCUGACCAAACAUCUUUAACCCAAUUAAAGGAUCCUUGACAUGGGUUUGGACUUGUAGCUGUCUGCAAUGAUGCGGAGAAAUAUCCUGAGCGAGUAGUAUAUACUCCUGAGGGAAGUGGUUGCCAGAUGAAAGUGUCUUCUGUUUUGGCGAUGCUUGGCUGAAGGAGUUGGAUCUCCUUCGAUAGUUGAGAGACUAACGGGCAGUUCAAAGCAAGACAUGGAGAAGGUGGGGAUGGCAGUUAGCACAGCUUGUAGCAUAGUUAGCUUCCCUGCCCUAGACAAGAAGCGCGUGGAUAGACUGUUAGCUCUUUGCCGGAUUCUAUCAACCAGAGCUGUGAAGAGGUCCUUCUUCUUUCUACCGAAGUGCUCCGAUGUCUUUGAAGAGAAGCUCGAUGGUGAGGAGUAGCAGAAGAACAUUGUGUCAUCAGCAAAGAGCAAAUGGUUCACCCUCGGGCUACCACGUGCCACUCUUAUUCCUUGCAAGGUACCAUCUCGUCCUGCUUCUUUGCAUAAUCCCGAUAGAACUUGGCCACAUAGAAUGAACAGAUAGGGAGAUAGGGGAUCUCCCUGUCUAAUGCCUCUGUUAGGUUUGACCGCUCCUAGAACUGAAUCAUUAAUCAGAUAAGAGUAGGAUACCGUAGUCACGCAUUGCAUUAUUAGAUUGAUCCACUUCUCAUGGAAUCCUAGUCUCUUAAGUACUUGCGAUAUGAACCUCCAUUCGACUCUGUCAUAUGCUUUAGACAUGUCAGUUUUCACUGCCAUCGUACACUUCUUUUGCGCUUGAGAGGUCUUUAGGUACUGUAGCACUUCGUGGGUGAUUAGGAUGUUGUCUGCUAUUGCUCUGCCUGGAAUAAAUGCUGACUGGUUCUCUGAGAUAAUGUGUUGUAGAAUAGGCUUAAGUCUGAGUGCCAGCAGCUUGGAUAUAAUUUUGAAGUAGACAUUGCAUAAAGCGAUAGGACGGUAAUCAGCAACCCUUUUUGCUCCUACUAUCUUUGGAAUGAGUCUAACGUGUGUAACGUUUUGCGAGGUGCGGAGGUUUUCUGUAGCAAAGAAGGCUUUGAUCUCCCUGAUCACAUCUGAUCCCACAACUUCCCAGUUGGCAUGAAAGAAGCUCGCCGAGAACCCAUCAGGACCCGGGGCUUUGUCCGGGUGAAUGGCAAAGUGACACAGUGUUGAAGCGCUUUUUCUACUGUUUGUAGACCAUCAUGCUGCUCUGAAGUGAAGAUAUGGUCGAAAUACUUACAUAUAACACCGGCAAUCUGCUCCUCUUCGAACCACGGCUUUAAGCAGGUUUGUAUUUAUCUCAUGAAUGAGAUCAUCCUGUGGCACCUGAUUCGUCAUUGCUGCAUCUAAUUGAGAUCGAAGUGCCUCCAGUGCCUUCCGGCUGUUCUCAUGAAAGACUCUGCUCCAACUACAUAUGGCCUUCCUACAGCAGGAUAGUUUUGCUUCCACAUCGAGGAAAGUGAGCAGCGGUCUAUGAUCAGAUCCUUCAUAUCGGAGGUAUUGGCAUCGCGACGACGGGAAGGUGUCAAACCAUUCACUGUUACUUAUAGUUCGAUCCAGUCGGCACUGCACAAGGAAAGUUCUAAACGAGCAAAAAGAUCCUUCUGCUCGCUCAGGGCCUCCUUUCUUUUCACUAUUGUCGGUCAACUCGUUGAAGUCUCCAGUCAAGAGCCAUGGCUCUCCAGGCGAGGGUUGUAGAGUCGAGAGUUCAUUCCAAAUUUGAAGCCUUUUGGUAUGGUCUGGUUCUCCAUAAACGAAGAUAAGGAAGAGACCACCACCUCCCGAGCUAGUAGGGGGAACAGCAUGGUAGUUAUCGAUGGAGAGCCACUGUAAUUUGUCAAGGAUAACAGCUGUGUCGUUCUUUGUCUCCAUAAGGAAGAAGAUGUCUGGGGAGUUUCUCCGAUGAAUCUCCCUCAAACGCUGGACUGUUAUGGGGUUCCCCAGCCCACAACAGUUCCAGCUCAGAGCUACUAAGGAGCCGGGGGUGGAGGAGACCGAAAAUCCUGCUUUCUCUGAGGGCGAGAUGGAGGUUGCUUUGUCGAUGGGUUCGGUCCCCUUCUUGAAGGAAUUAACUGUAUUGCUGGAGUUUUCUCCAUUGGGUUCCUUCCUCCAAUGAGACUGGUUCCCCGACGAUCCUCUCCUACUGUCCCAGAGUCUCUUGGAAGACCUCUGUUAACUCGCUUACUUCCACAGCUGGGGGAUUGCUGGAGUUGUGAGAGCUUCCUUUUCUUUGAGCUAGCUCCGCGAAGAAUAUUGGGGGAUAAACGCGGUGGGCGAAUUCUCACUUGCUUCGGUUUCUGGGAGACUGUCUUAUUCUGAUAGGCUGAUUAUGAUAGACUGGAGGCGUGAAGUGCCCUGUCCUUUAGACAUGGGGUUUGGAGGAUUUUCCGGUGAUGACGGACCAGCAUAGUGAGAGGCAAAAACACAGGGAGCCGGUGGUGGUGUAACUUCUGCAUCUGACGGCUGCAUAGCCUCAUUGAAGUCUAUUCCAGGGGGGCUCACUGAUCUUAUUCCACGUUCCCAGGGGGACAAAGGACGUCGUUGGUUUGCAGUAGCUGCUAAGAUUGAUUCUGCCGCCCUCUCUGUUAGGCCCUCUGCAUCGCUUUCAAGGACUCUACGUUGCCUGGCUGCUGCUUCAAUUGGGUUCGCGCAACUAAGGUGGGCCAGUUCGGAGCAACAGAAGGCCUGCUGCUGUUUCCUCUGUUUGGCCUCUGGCAUCUCCUGCCAUCACCCUCUGUCUUCUGGCUGCUGCUUCUGUGGGAUCAGGAUAGUUUAGCGCUUUGAGGAUUACCAGCAAGAAUUACAGUCUGAGGAGCUAAUAGUAAAGGUUGGCCUGCUGGUUUCACUCGCCACUCACUGAGUCCCUUUUGAGGGAACAGGUGUUUCCUUUGUGCUCCCGUCUCUCUCAGUGGUUCUCUUCGUGUCGUGUACGGGGGAGAGUUGUAUUCGACUGGUCUAGGUUCCUGUUCCACUUCCUUGCGUCUCCAGUUAGUGGACUCCCCUCGCUUGGUAUCUGAUGAUCUGACCGGUGGCGGAACUCGAGUUUGCUUUGAACCUAUUCGUGCUCCAAAGUUGUUUCCAUGACGAUCCACUCUUUCGUGGAAGGCUGUCGUGUGUUGUUUACUCGAAGGAUCUGAGCGGUGAAGCUUCCUCGAAAGUAGCUACUUCCUGUUGCCUUUCCAUCAGAUAACUUGGGCAGUCCUUCUUAAGAUGAGUCAGCGAUGAGCACCAAGAGCAGUGGUUUUCUAACUUCUCAUAGUCAAGUGUUCCGAGCUCUUUUCCUACGCUGCAGACAACUUCAUCCAUCCAGAAGUGUAGUGGGAGGCCUUUGAUUCGGAUCCAGAACGGGAUCUGUGACGGGAAGGAGUGUGAGAUGACCGGCUCCCACCUCUGGAUGAUGACCAUCCAAUAAGAGAAGUGGUAUGGCCUAUUGUCGAGUACUCUGCGUGCCACUUGCGAGGUAGCGCUGGUAACAGGGCCCAGAUCUUCUGUUCCUGAAGGUUAGUGACCCUUCCUAUGAGUGUGAGCGCGUUCUCCUUGAUGAGUGCUGCGUUGUCUACGCAAGGUGCUUUGAUUCUUGUGAUGUGAGUUUGUCAAGAGAUCGUUGAGGAGAUGAUUACGGGUGCUGUUGGGGUUUUAGAAGUGAUCCUAGUGGUGUGGCUACGAAUUUGAAGGUAAAGAUCUUGGUGAAGAAGAACUUGGUUCCUUUAGGUCUGUGAAGAUGAAUGUUGGAGGAUGCUACUUCUGGACAAGAAGUAGGGCUUCCCAAAAGGAGCAAAGCAAGGACCGCUGGGUUGUUUCCAAAUUCAGUAACCUUCUGAGCUGUCGUUUUCACUUUUUUGGAGACGUUGGAGAUGCUGCUUCACUGCCUUGGUAGUCGUGCCUGGGAGAGUCCUGU